rnacentral:rRNA from 1 species
UACGUAGGGUGCAAGCGUUGUCCGGAAUUAUUGGGCGUAAAGAGCUCGUAGGCGGUUUGUCGCGUCUGCUGUGAAAACUCGGGGCUUAACCCCGGGCCUGCAGUGGGUACGGGCAGACUAGAGUGCGGUAGGGGAGACUGGAAUUCCUGGUGUAGCGGUGAAAUUCGUAGAUAUUAGGAAGAACACCUAUGGCGAAGGCAGCUCUCUGGGACGGUACUGACGCUGAGACGCGAAAGCGUGGGGAGCGAACAGG